rnacentral:rRNA from 1 species
CACGCUGUAAACGAUGUCGAUUUAGAGGUUGUGGUCUUGAACCGUGGCUUCUGGAGCUAACGCGUUAAAUCGACCGCCUGGGGAGUACGGCCGCAAGGUUAAAACUCAAAUGAAUUGACGGGGGCCCGCACAAGCGGUGGAGCAUGUGGUUUAAUUCGAUGCAACGCGAAGAACCUUACCUACUCUUGACAUCCAGCGAAUCCUUUAGAGAUAGAGGAGUGCCUUCGGGAACGCUGAGACAGGUGC